rfam:Hordeum vulgare subsp. vulgare, WGS project CAJW01000000 data, contig: morex_contig_2047028
AAAAAACUUCCUUCGUCCGAAAAUACUUGUUCUAGAGAUGAAUGUAUCUAGACUUAUUUUAGUUAUAGAUACAUUCAUUAUAUUCAUUUUUAGAACAAGUAUUUCCGAACGGAGGGAGUAUCAU